GGGGGUGUAGCUCAGUGGUAGAGUGCAUGCUCAGCAUGCAUGAGGUCCUGGGUUCGAUCCCCAGUACCUCCG
rnacentral:tRNA from 1 species